CUGGCUGUCGGGAUUGCUCAGGCGCUGUGGACAUGUCCGCCAUGUUUUUCAUGGCACUGGGAGUGGAUCACCCGAGAAAAAUAGCUUCUAAAUCCAGUUAAACUCGACCAGAAAUGGCUUUUCGCAUUUGAUUUCGACCGAAUGGUUACCAAUGAAUCCUACUAUUGUGAAAUCAACCGAGUCCCUUGUGGAUUUAUACCGAUUUUCUUAGCGAAUUCUGGCGGGAUACAUGUUUCCUUCGCGUUCUAUGUGAGUGCGAUAGGGGCAAACAAUGAGUAAACUAUCGUUCCGAGCGCGAGCGCUAGACGCCGCCAAACCUCUCCCCAUAUACCGCAACAAAGACCUUCCAGACCUAAAUGACUGCGUUUCGAUCAACCGGGCUGUGCCGCAGAUGCCUACGGGGAUGGAAAAAGAAGAAGAAUCGGAGCACCAUCUCCAGAGGGCCAUCUCUGCUCAGUCGGUUUUCAGGGAAAAGAAGGAGAACAUGGUCAUCCCGGUGCCGGAGGCAGAGAGCAACAUCACUUACUACGACCGUCUCUAUAAAGGAGAGCUCAGGAUCCCGAAACAGCUCUUCCACAUCCAGCCCCUGGGUCUGGAUAAUGAGCAGCCAGACUAUGACAUGGACUCAGAGGAUGAGACUCUCCUCAACAGGCUCAACCGCAAGAUGGAGAUCAAACCCAUACAAUUUGAGACCAUGGUAGACAGGUUGGAGAAAGCCAGCACAAACCAGCUGGUCACUAUCACAGAGGCCAAACUGCUACUGAACGAGGAUGACUACCUCCUGAAGUCAGUGUACGACUACUGGGUGAGGAAGAGGAAGAACUGCCAAGGCCCGUCGCUCAUCCCCCUCAUCAAGCAGGAGAAGAGAGACGGCUCCACCAACAACGACGCUUAUGUGGCCUUCAGACGGCGCACAGAGAAGAUGCAGACCAGGAAGAACCGUAAGAAUGACGAGGCGUCCUAUGAAAAGAUGCUGAAGCUCCGGAGGGAGUUCAGCCGCACGGUCACCAUCCUGGAGAUGAUAAAGAGGAGAGAGAAGAGCAAGAGAGAGCUGCUGCACCUAACACUGGAGGUGGUGGAGAAAAGAUAUCAGAUGGGUGACUUUACGGGUGUAGUCCUCAGUGAGGUGACGGCCCCUCUGGCUGAGAAGCCCGUCUACACUGCUCCGAUCACUCUAACGAACGGGAACCGCCAUAACCAUAAAGCUGAGAUCAAGACGCACAAGUCCGGUAGUCUCCAGCACCAUGGGCACCACCACGUCUCGGUGAAGGACGAGGAUCCCUUUGACUUUGUCAGACCAAAGAAGAAGUACGCCAGGCGGGACCCCCUGUGCCGCCCUGGCAGGCCCACCAAGCGCCAGCACAUCGUUAACAAGGCUGAUAUUAAACAGUAUGACUUCCACAGCUCUGGAGACGAGGAGGAGGACUACCCACUGUCUCCACCAUCAGAACCAGAUGAGGAGAAUGAUCCAGAUGGUGCAUUUGCCUUCAGAAGGAAAGCAGGCUGUCAUUACCUUGCUCCCAUUGUGGACCAGAGCUCUGGCCUUCUGUGGGAUCACCCUGAGCUAGCAGGGCUGGAUGCCCUGCGGCACCGUCACUCCCUUACUGCCCUCUCUGUACCCCAACGCUGUGUGGGACUGGCACGCAGGAGGGUGGGGCGAGGUGGCAGGAUCCUGUUGGAUCGGGCUUCAUCAGACCUGGACAUCGCAUUAAAGCAGCUGGACUCAGCCGUCGCCACAUCCUCCCCCUUCACCAGGCCUUGUGCUCCAGACCUUACUGAUCCCUGGCCCUCCUCACAGAACCACAGAACUAUCGCUGGCUCUGCCUCGUCACUGGCAGACAUCGUGAGCAACAUCCAGGCUCUGAGGUGGCGCUGUUUCAGACCUAGGCCCACCCAGGGUGACGGCAGUGGUGACACGAGGACGGGCAGAUCUUCCAUGGAUACCACGUUGUCUGGAGGGCUGUUGGUUCACUCCAAGAGAAGUGGCAAAGGAGGCAUCACAGAGGAGCAGUACCAGGUCCAUCAGCAGGCUCUGGCCCAGAUGCAGAAACAGCAGCUGAAAGCUGCUCCUCCCCAGCAGCAUUCCUCACUGUCAGAGCGACAAAACACACAAACUUCUGGCUCCACUGAUUGCAUCAUAUCGAAGACUCUGGACUCGGCUAGCGCCCAUUUUGCGGCAUCAGCUGUCAUCAGUGCAUCAGGCCAGGUCAACAAUGAGAACAAAUCACACAAUACCAGCGUCAAUGGGGUCGUCCAGACUUUGGGUAAUAGGCCUACUCAGGUUUGACGGUGUCAUAUCACCUCUCCUGCAGGGACCUCCAGACCUCUUCACUCCACCAGCACAUCCCAGAGCGGCACAGGGUUGGACAGGUCAGGUCUUACCUCCUCCAGCGGAGCCCCUCCGCUACCUGCCCACUCCACCUCCUCCUCGCCUCAGUCUCUGCCCAACCACCGAGGCCACGGCAGUGCUGUCUCCCCUGCCCAUCACCACCACAACGCCAGACCCUCUGCCCCCUCGCCGUCUGCCUUAAAGCUGGCCGCUGUGGCUGCCAGCAGCCUGGACUGUGUGGCCAUGGUGACACCCGCCUCUGCCAUCGGCAGCAUGGCCAGGGAUACUCACGAACCUGAGAGACAUACUUUGAACGGCAUAUCAGAGACCACAGUACCAAUGGAGGUGACAUAACCCCCUCCCUCCCUCCUCCCUCAUCGCCAUUCUGCUCAGACCGGUGAAUGUGACAAACAGAACGCAAGCUCCAGCCCCAGCCACCAGAGGGCACGCGUAUACAAGGACCUAUACAGAAUCGAGCAUAUCAAAAAAAAUUAUAACGUGUCAAUAUUAUAAAUGUACAUUUUGUAAAUUGGGAAUAUCACUACCUUGUAAGAUAGUAUAUUUGUAUCAUUAGUAUGUUUUCUUUUUUUCUGUUACGUGAAUUCUAGUAAAUUUGACAUCAUGCUUUUGCACUUGAAAAAUGCAAACAAUAUAUAGUACAUGUAAAAAUGCAAAAAAACGUUUGUUGGGAUCAUGAGCAUGAACCACGGAUCCUGUAUCACUCAUUUUACCACUAUUUAUUUUGCAAUGUUUACAUUUUUGUAUCUCUACAGACGAAACAAAUCAGCAAAAUAUGGACAUCGGUCUUGCUAGUAUAUUUGGUUCUUGUGCUUUUUUUCUAAAGAUGGGAAAUGAGCCUGAUUUUGAUUUGGUUUCACAAAUUGAAUAGUUACGGUCUUUUGUAAGUAGAUUAGCAGUGGCAUUUUUUUCCCCUUCAGACAAGUAUUUUCUGUUACUUUGUCAGUUGUAACAGGAAUUGAUUGUCUUUUUAAUUUUUUAUUCUGUUUUCUUUUCCUUUUUCAUUCAAUGCCGAAUUUUCCAAAACAAUGAAGAAAUCUUAAAAAUGAGCCAUUCUCCAUACAAACCUAUUUAUUUACAUUUAAAUCCAAAUGACAAAUAAAUGCAUCCUAAAAUCAAUCUGCAGAUGUAAAGCAAGAAUUUUUUAUAAUAUAUUUGCCUUUUUUAAACGGGUAGGGAGUUUAAGCCAAUGAACAGUACACAGGAAUAUUACCAUUCUAUCUGUUAUGUAUUGCGCUGUAUAAUCUUGCACAUUACUUGGCAACUCUUUGAACGACUACCCCUUUGGAUUGGGGGGUGCACAUCAAUAUUUUGGGGUAUUUUUUUUCUUCUUCUUUGGUCAAGGGGCAAGUAACAUGUUGAAACGAUGUCUGAUGGUCAGUGAGUGACCUCCCCUGUAGAUUAUGUAGUUGAUGUAGUGAUGUCCUGUAGAGAUAUUAGAAACAUGUUUAGAUAAUUAGUAAUGCCUAGUGUUCAUGCACUAUUUCUUCAGACAUACAUUUUUCCCUGUUACUUGUUCUUGGAGUGUUUCAGAAAGAAAUGCUGGGAAAUAAAUAUAUCUAUACAUAUCAGUAUAA